UAUGGUUGUAAGAACAGACAGAAAAAGGGGUCUGACACUUCAGGCGUUGUUUACAUUUUGCUGGGCAUUCUGCUAAUUUAUCGUGGUAUCCUCCACACUUGUUACAUAUUUUUUCGGAGGUCUUUGGGCUGUCAAUAUGCCGACUAAGACCUGCAGUGAAACUUUGAUUUACAUAUUUGCAAUGGAUAAGGUGAACCUCGUGGCUGUCGCGAGCCAUACCCUUUAGCUGCACUUUUGCUAAGUCGUGGGAGCGCGCUAUGCUGAUCGCUUUAUUCGAGCGUGAGCGCCGGUCCCUGGUUGUGUAACUUUUCGCGCACACUCAGUGAGUUGGUAGCGAAAACUAUGCGAUCUCUAACCAUCUCAUCGCCGUUUGUGUAGUUACAGUCUUCAACAAACAGCUUGAGUUCUGUCACAAAGUGCUCACAUGACUCACAGUUACCUUGCGCCUUCUUGUGAAAGUUAUAUCAAGCAAAUACAUGUAUGGAGUUUGCUUUCGGAGUGAGUUCGGAGUCUAUCCCGCCUCCUGCCCGAUGAUAGCUGGGAUUUGCUCCAACACUCCCACACCUGAUUUCUCCACGUCGCUUGGAAGACGCCGCCUCACAACUGAUGUCGGCCACUCACCGAGCAGCCAACUGGCCACUUCCAAUCGCCAGAGCAAGGACAGGCUGCCACCAAAUCAGCAGGGCCCAGGGAAGGACAUCUGAGUCGGCAUCUCAGUCUCUCUACAAAGCGGACUAGCUGAGGAGAUGUGGUUUCUCUUUACUUCCUCAACUUGCAAAUGGAAGUAGAACAGGAAAAAAAGAUGACUUUGAUUGGUUGCCGUCACGCAAAUUCCCACCAUUUUAGAUUAAGGAAAUACGCUGAUUACUAAGACUGACGUGAAAUUUAUCAUCACCAUCUCUGAUCUCAAUCAUAUAAUUGCCCGGCCCUGGAUCAACAUUAGCUCAUAGCAAUGUGUGCCUCAUUUUUAAGAAGUUCACAGAGUGCACCAAAUAUUGAGAAAACAAUCACAUUACUUUGCACUGCCUCUCCUUGUUAAAAUACUGUCAGUGAGUGGCAUGGUCCCGCUUUUCAUGAAGUAUCAGGCUCUUUGUAGGCAGCUGGACCUGGAACCACUCACCAGUCACUAUAGAGGCUGUGGUCUUAGUCCUGAGAAUGUGUUUGCGCUCAGAAUCUGAUACUAUACACAGAAGAAAUGAGAUUUGAGUCUUUAGUGACCACCAAAGCCAUAGAAAACAUGCCUCACUUUUAUUUAUUUUUGGGUAAGUUGGUGUGAGAGAAGCUAGGAGCCUGAAGGAAUCCGUUCGCCAAGUUCUUGCAGAGAUGGGAAUGAAAUGAGCCAAUCGUCGCUCUGUAAAGAAUUAAAACCACCUCUACAAAUAUCUCCAAUAUUUGCAUAGUGCCUCGAACUUGGAGUUUCACAGCGUCUGGGUUUCAUGUGCAAAUAAACAGUGGAACAGUCCACAAGUGUGGAAUGCCCCCCCUUAUCCCUGAGGUGAAGCCCACUUCGUUGGUACUCCCUAAUCAGGAUCACUCUCCAAAUAGAACCGAUCAGAUAAACCUGAAUGAUAAUGUCUUCCUAUGUGGAGUUCUUCAAUCAGCAUCUCAGACCUGUGGAGAGUGCCAUAGUGUUUGCCAGCUCUGAGUUAAUCCACUUCCUUGACCUUCUCGCACACACUAGCAGCAAUCCCAGGAGCGUUUUAGCGCUGAGCAAACUGACAGAUGUUGGCACGGCCGCCCAAUACUUCUGUUUGAGCCCACCUAAAGGUAAAAGAAAGUUGAUGGACUAAAAGGUUAUGUUACAGUACACGGAGUACCAUAGGCAUUGUAGUGCAAACUGGUGUUAAAAUUACUUUUGGAUCGUAUCCUAUUCACUUAUAGCUAGUUCCUGAAGAAUACGGGCUGUCAUUUGGGCUGGUAAUGACCCAGUUUUUCCAUGAAAAGAUAAAAAAAUGUUGUUUUGUUAUGUCAUUUUACAUCAACUUUGGUUUUGUGCCAGAAAAUGAAAAUAUUUUAACAUUCUGGAAAGAGAACAGUUCAUCAACACUGUGUGUUAAGUGUUUCGCCUGCCUAUACGCUGUUCCAAUCAGAAUUUUAAUGCUGUGCUACAAAAUUAUACAAUUACUGCAUUGAUUAUACCACUACUGGUGACCACAACUGCCUGGGUGUUUCUGAGGUUUGGGUUUGAAAGCUGUGUUCUAGUGUUCCUGUUUAGAGAUUGGAAGUUCUCCCCAUGCUUUUCUUUAGGUGUUCCAGGUUCAUACCAACUCCUAGAAAUAUGCAUGUUAGCCUUAUUGAAUAUUACACAAUUUUGUGAGUGUAAGGGUAAUGAAAUACAAGUAAGAUGAGUCAAAGAUGUCUUAUUAUUCAUUCAGGUAUAUAUGAGAAAAUGUGCCUUUUA